rnacentral:lncRNA from 13 species
UAUGUGUUUGUCUUAUGUAUUUUGGAUUGAUGGAUGAUAGGUAGACUGCUUGUUUGUCUGGUUGGGAGGAAGAGAUUAACAGGCACCUGUUGAAGUUCCGAGGUGGGACCUUCCCUCUCUCAACCAUUGGCUCCUGUAAAGGGGGCGGCGGCAGGAAGGGGUAGGACAGUAGCAUGUGGAGAUGAGCCAAUUACCAGCCCACGAAAGAAUGGGAAACCCCGCCUCCAACUGGAGCUGUGGAGAUUCUCUCAGAGAAGGGUCAUUGUCCAGCACUGAUGUCCUCUUCAUCACCAACGGCAAUACUCCGAGUGUUGUAGAUGGGGACCAUGUGAGUCUGUCUCUGUGUUAUUACAACAAGACUGAUCUGAUCAGGGAGUUACAGACCAUGUGCUCCAGGAAGUCAGACAUNNNNNNNNNNGUGUGUGUGUGUGUGUGUGUGUGUGUGUGUGUCUGUCUGUUUGUCUUCAUAUGUCUAUGUGUCUGCAAAUGA